rnacentral:lncRNA from 1 species
GACACACCCAGCGGCAGCCGUUGACUCCCUCCACCCUUGCUUCCCUCUCAACCAUCUCACCUCCAUCUGUCCAGUGGAGCCAGAUGUCCCACCUUCUUGGGAGAAAUUAAUUGAGGCUCAUUUCCAGGACAGAGGGGCAAGCUGGGUCUGAGGAGCCAAGCAGAAAAACUUCCCAAAAUCACUGGGUGGGGAGGGGUCAGAGACUUACUGCUGCCCCAGCUGUUCUGACUCUGCCCCCAGCUUUUGGCCCCACCCUUUUAAAGCACCUUCAGAGGUUCCCAAUGGUGACAGUAAACAAGUCUCCACUGUCCUGGCCAUCUCUGCUGUGUUCACCCUACUCCUGAUCUUUCUGGCUGCUCAGGGACUGACAGCCAAGAUGUGAGGCUGUGAUGAGCAGGAACAGGGAGGCCUGGAGCCCCCAGACAGAUUUGCAAUGAUCAAGAGGCGUCCUGUGAAUGCAGUUUGCAAAGGACUUAGGCACACAGCAUCUCCUUUGUUCUCACCACAAGGCUGCCGGGUGUGCAGAUGUGAGGAUUAUUUCAAUGGUGAAGAAGCAUCCUGAGAGGUUACGUAGUUCAACUAAUGUCACACCAAGAGCAGGAGAGCAUCUGGGCAUUUGGACAUGGAAGGUGUGGGGCACAAGCAUCUCAUGGCCAGGGAACGGGGGAGGAGCAUCUCAGAGCUGCAUCAGAGUUCAUGCUGGUCCUAGGACAAGAGUCAAGCACACCCUGCUUUCACCAGCUGCUGGUAGCUUUCACUCAGGCCACCUCUCUUUGCCAGUCUUGACAAAUAAUUUCUUAGUGAAGCACCUAUUUCAGGCUGAGCCACAAGAUGUCAGCCUAAGCUUAGUCAUUUUGAAUUUUCCUGGCCCUUGAAACAACUACAUUUUUUCACUUUUAUGACCAAGAAAAAGUCUGAGAAGCUCACGACCCCUCAGGAUUAGGUACAGAGACCACAGCAGCUGCUUGCCCUGGGAGCUCUUCAUGCCUGUUCUCAGCCAUCUUCAGUGAAGAUUUCACAGGAUAACCCAAACUGGCUCCUUUCUGUGACACCACCCAGGGAACUGCAUUCCAAGUGUGGGUGUACACGGAUCUCCACCAUUGGUCCUUGCUCUCUCUCCUGUCCCAUCCUUUCUCCCCUUCCUCAGUUAUGCUCUGGGGCAGGUGAGUAAUCCUGCAUGCCUUCGGAGAUGUCCAUUUGGGAAUGAGAUCCUACCUUUCCUUUUCCCAGGCACCCCCAGCCUUAUGAGGGAUUCCCAUCACGUGGCUUUAGAGAUGAGAAGGCAUCUUUGCCAUGAACUCUUGCUUCAU